UGUGAACUCGAAGAGUAGGGCGGGACACGUGGUAUCCUGUCUGAAUAUGGGGGGACCAUCCUCCAAGGCUAAAUACUCCUGACUGACCGAUAGUGAACCAGUACCGUGAGGGAAAGGCGAAAAGAACCCCGGCGAGGGGAGUGAAAAAGAACCUGAAACCGUGUACGUACAAGCAGUAGGAGCCUCUUUAUGGGGUGACUGCGUACCUUUUGUAUAAUGGGUCAGCGACUUAUAUUCUGUAGCAAGGUUAACCGUAUAGGGGAGCCGCAGGGAAACCGAGUCUUAACUGGGCGUUAAGUUGCAGGGUAUAGACCCGAAACCCGGUGAUCUAGCCAUGGGCAGGUUGAAGGUUGGGUAACACUAACUGGAGGACCGAACCGACUAAUGUUGAAAAAUUAGCGGAUGACUUGUGGCUGGGGGUGAAAGGCCAAUCAAACCGGGAGAUAGCUGGUUCUCCCCGAAAGCUAUUUAGGUAGCGCCUCGUGAACUCAUCUUCGGGGGUAGAGCACUGUUUCGGCUAGGGGGUCAUCCCGACUUACCAACCCGAUGCAAACUACGAAUACCGAAGAAUGUUAUCACGGGAGACACACGGCGGGUGCUAACGUCCGUCGUGAAGAGGGAAACAACCCAGACCGCCAGCUAAGGUCCCAAAGUCAUGGUUAAGUGGGAAACGAUGUGGGAAGGCCCAGACAGCCAGGAUGUUGGCUUAGAAGCAGCCAUCAUUUAAAGAAAGCGUAAUAGCUCACUGGUCGAGUCGGCCUGCGCGGAAGAUGUAACGGGGCUAAACCAUGCACCGAAGCUGCGGCAGCGACACUAUGUGUUGUUGGGUAGGGGAGCGUUCUGUAAGCCGUUGAAGGUGGCCUGUGAGGGUUGCUGGAGGUAUCAGAAGUGCGAAUGCUGACAUAAGUAACGAUAAUGCGGGUGAAAAACCCGCACGCCGGAAGACCAAGGGUUCCUGUCCAACGUUAAUCGGGGCAGGGUGAGUCGACCCCUAAGGCGAGGCCGAAAGGCGUAGUCGAUGGGAAACAGGUUAAUAUUCCUGUACUCGGUGUUACUGCGAAGGGGGGACGGAGAAGGCUAUGUUGGCCGGGCGACGGUUGUCCCGGUUUAAGCAUGUAGGCGGAUGUUCCAGGUAAAUCCGGAACGUUAUUAACGCUGAGGUGUGAUGACGAGGCACUACGGUGCUGAAGUGACAAAUGCCCUGCUUCCAGGAAAAGCCUCUAAGCAUCAGGUAACAUCAAAUCGUACCCCAAACCGACACAGGUGGUCAGGUAGAGAAUACCAAGGCGCUUGAGAGAACUCGGGUGAAGGAACUAGGCAAAAUGGUGCCGUAACUUCGGGAGAAGGCACGCUGAUAUGUAGGUGAAGUGGUUUACCCAUGGAGCUGAAAUCAGUCGAAGAUACCAGCUGGCUGCAACUGUUUAUUAAAAACACAGCACUGUGCAAACACGAAAGUGGACGUAUACGGUGUGACGCCUGCCCGGUGCCGGAAGGUUAAUUGAUGGGGUUAUCCGUAAGGAGAAGCUCUUGAUCGAAGCCCCGGUAAACGGCGGCCGUAACUAUAACGGUCCUAAGGUAGCGAAAUUCCUUGUCGGGUAAGUUCCGACCUGCACGAAUGGCGUAAUGAUGGCCAGGCUGUCUCCACCCGAGACUCAGUGAAAUUGAACUCGCUGUGAAGAUGCAGUGUACCCGCGGCAAGACGGAAAGACCCCGUGAACCUUUACUAUAGCUUGACACUGAACACUGGUCCUUGAUGUGUAGGAUAGGUGGGAGGCUUUGAAG
rnacentral:rRNA from 1 species